rnacentral:rRNA from 1 species
UUUAUAACAUCAAAGUAAUUUCAAAGGAGUUAUUAAGGAUAACUAGCAAAUUUAUACAAAAGGAGGUUAACCAAAAGCCAACAGGAAAAGCAAAUUGGCGAUCCUAAGGGAAACCUUUACUAUAAACACUUCCCAAAGUAAAACAUUUUAGUAGGGAAAGGAAAGGAAAUCAACCGAGACUCCGAAAGUAAUGGCGAGUGAAAUCGGAACAGCCUAAAAUAUUUAAUAAUUAAUAGAAAAUCCAUAGAAGGUAAGAGUCCUGUAUAUUAAUUACAAAAUAAAAAAUCAAAGUACGAUGAGAGAAACCUUGUCGGAAUAUAGGGGAACCAUCCUCUAAGGCUAAGUAUUAUAAAUUUAGCGAUAGACAAAAGUACUGUAAAGGAAAGUUGAAAAAUUUAUUUAAAAAUAUAAAAUGAAAAUUGAAUUAGUAACUCUAUAAGCAGUCGAAGUUUAUAAAAUUAUAAAUGACGGCGUACCUUUUGCAUAAUGGGUCAGCAAGUUAAUAGGAGUAGCAAGGUUAAAAGCCUUAGUGAAAGCGACUGGACUAACUAGCUAAACGUUCUUUAUAAAUAUUAUUCUUUUUAAUAUUUUAAUAUUUUUAUGGAUAUAUUUAUUAUGGUUUAUUUUGUUUAGUAUUUAUAUUAUAUUAUUUAUGAUAAUAUCUUUAUAAAUAGGAUAAUCCUUAAUAUUUUUAUUAUUUAAUAAAAAUAUUAAGUAAAUUAUUCUUUAGGUAUAGUGGUGGAUAAGUUACUUCUAUUAGACCCGAAGCUAGGUGAUCUUCCCAAGACCAGAUUAUAAUGGAUCGAACGGGUGAAUGUUGCAUAAUUCUCCGAAGAGUUUUGGGAAGCGGUGAAAUGCCAAUCUGACCUAGUGAUAGCUGGUUUUCUACGAAACAUAUGUAAGUAUGAGAUCUAUAUUGUACUAAAAAUAAAUAUUUUUAGUAAUAAAUUUAUGGUGGUACAGCACGGAAUUCCGAACAGUAAUAGUAUUUUAUAGAAAUAUUUUUUUAUAUUUUACUAUUUUUAGUUUAGGUUGAGGGGGUGUGAAAGCCUUACCAAUGGAAGAUAAACUCGAAAUGACAUAAAUUGAUGAUAGAUAUUCAGACUGCUCAUGAGAAGUUGAGUAGUCAAGACGGAAACAGCCGAGAACACGAAUACAAGGUCCCAAAUGAUUAUUAAGUGAAAUUAAGGUGAUAAUAAAUUGAAAGCAAUUGUAAAGUAAGCUCGGAAGUAGCUAUCUUUUAAAGAACGUAAUGUAACAACGCAGCAAUAUUUUAGACAAUUACACUAACAAUUUAACGGGUCUAAAUAAUCAACCGAUAUCGUGUUUAUUAUAAAUAACUAAUAAAUAAUAAUUAUUUAUAGUAUAGGUAGUAGAACAUUCAGUUUAACUAUAAUUUAACAGUGUUUCAUUGUUUAUAAGUAACUGAAGAGAGAAUGCUGACAUGAGUAACGUAAAAAGAAGUUAUAAUACUUCUCGCCGAAUACGAAAGGGUUAUAAGGCCAUGUUAAACAGCCUUAUUUUAAUGCGGCCUCUAAGGACCAAAAUCCAAAGUUUUGGCUGAUGAGUAAUUAACUGAAAGUCCAAAUGUAAAUUAAUGGACCAGGAAAAUUAAGUUAAUAAAACUACCGUACCCUAAACCGACACAGGUUCGUAAGUAGAGAAUACUAAGGCGUAGAGCUAAAAGUUGUUAAGGAACUCGGCAAGUUCACCUCAUAAGUUUGACGACAAGAGGUACCCCUGAACAUUAAUAUGUAAAUAUUAAUAAAUAGGUGAGGUGGCACAGAAUCGGAGGCCCCGACUGUUUACUAAAAACACAAUUCAGAGCAAUAAUUAAGAUAAUAGUAUUCUGGAUGAAAUUUGCCCAAUGCCAUUAAUAUAAGAGAGGUAAUUAAAAGUUACUAAUCGAAAGUCUGGUUAAUAGCGGUCUUAACUAUGAGGAUCCAAAGGUAGCAAAAUCAAUUGGCCAUUAAAUGUGGUCCGGAAUCAGUAGUGUAACGAUGGUCUCACUGUCUCUACAACUUGCUCAGUGAAAUUGAAUUACCCGUGCAGAUGCGGGUUGCCUCCAGGUGGACGGGAAGACCCUAUGCAGCUUUACUGUAGUUAGUUAUCAUGUUGAUCUACAACAACCUUGGUUAAUAGUGAUUAGGGAUGUCGAUUGACGAAAUGUGGAAUACCUCCUAGCUAAGGUUGGGUCAAUGUUUACCUUAUAAUAAUUAAAUAUUAGAGGGAGAGUUGACUAAUUGGCAGUUUGACUGGGGCGGUCGUCUUUGAUAUAGUAGCAAAGUACAUCCAAAGUUUAUUUUUAGAAUAUCUUUAAUAUUUCUUUAUUAUAUGAUAUACAGACAUACAAAACUAUAAAUUUAUAAAUAUAAUCUUUUUAUGUUUAUAAAUAUAAAUUACGAUAAGGUAGAGCUAGAUAAUUGUAUGGGAAACAAUCUACUAGUGAGAAAAGUAGUACAAGGCGUAAUGGCGGAAAGCAUGCCUAACUGUAAGACCUAGAAGUCGCACAGAUACGUAAGUAGGGCAUAGUGACCCUUCGCUAUAAUAUGGAAUAGACGGGGAUCAAUCGAUAAAAGUUACGCUAGGGAUAACAGGCUGAUAGCUGGUGAGAGUACACAUUGUCCCGGCUGUUUGGCACCUUAAUUAGUUUAUUUUUAUCCUUGUAUUUUUUCUUUUUAUUUGUCUUUAUUUUAUUUUAUUUUAUUUUCGAAAGAAGAAAUAAAGAAGAAGAAUAAAAAAUAAGAAAAUAUAGAUAUAUUUGAUAAUAAAUGACAUCGGGGAAAAUCAAGAGUAAUAUUGAUUUAGAAGUUGAGAAUAUGCUAAAACAUCCUUAGAGUUUUCUAUACUAGAAAAAAGUUAUAAUUAGAAAAAUUGGAAAAUUAGCAAGGAAUUUUAUAACCU